rnacentral:rRNA from 1 species
UACGUAGGGGGCGAGCGUUAUCCGGAUUUACUGGGCGUAAAGCGCGUUAAGGCGGUUGUCAAAGUUGGUGGUGAAAUCUCAGGGCUCAACCCUGAAACUGCCUCCAAUACUGGGCGACUAGAGUGUGAGAGAGGGAUGUGGAAUUCCAGGUGUAGCGGUGAAAUGCGUAGAUAUCUGGAGGAACACCGGUGGCGAAGGCGACAUCCUGGACCGGUAUUGACGCUGAGGCGCGAAAGCCAGGGGAGCAAACGGG